rnacentral:rRNA from 1 species
GAUGAACGCUAGCUACAGGCUUAACACAUGCAAGUCGAGGGGCAGCGGGAUUGAAGCUUGCUUCAAUUGCCGGCGACCGGCGCACGGGUGAGUAACGCGUAUCCAACCUUCCGUACACUCAGGGAUAGCCUUUCGAAAGAAAGAUUAAUACCUGAUGGUAUGAUGAGAUCGCAUGGUAUCAUCAUUAAAGAUUUAUCGGUGAUGGAUGGGGAUGCGUCUGAUUAGCUUGUUGGCGGGGUAACGGCCCACCAAGGCGACGAUCAGUAGGGGUUCUGAGAGGAAGGUCCCCCCACAUUGGAACUGAGACACGGUCCAAAACUCCUACGGGAGGCAGCAGUGAGGAAUAUUGGUCAAUGGACGAGAGUCUGAACCAGCCAAGUAGCGUGCAGGAUGACGGCCCUAUGGGUUGUAAACUGCUUUUAUAAGGGAUAAAGUGAGUCUCGUGAGACUUUUUGCAUGUACCUUAUGAAUAAGGACCGGCUAAUUCCGUGCC